rnacentral:rRNA from 1 species
UGCGUAGGCGGAAUAUUAAGUCAGUGGUGAAAUCCUGCGGCUCAACCGUAGAACUGCCGUUGAUACUGAUAUUCUUGAAUGUAGUUGAGGUAGGCGGAAUGUGUAAUGUAGCGGUGAAAUGCUUAGAUAUUACACAGAACACCGAUUGCGAAGGCAGCUUACUAAACUAUGAUUGACGCUGAGGCACGAAAGCGUGGGGAGCGAACAGGAUUAGAUACCCUGGUAGUCC